UGGGUGAGAAUGAAAUUUGGGCAUCGGAGGAAGGAUUUCCAGCACUUGUGCCCUAUAACAGAGGUGACCUACCUCGCUAGAACCUGUCUGUCUAUCUCCA